rnacentral:sRNA from 1 species
UAAGAUAUUUACACAAUCUAACAAAACUCUAAAUUCUAUUCGUAAAAUUGAAGAAUCGUCGCAAAACCUGGAUCGAUUGGUUGUAAGAUUGAGGGAACAAAUCUUCUUCUUCUUUCACCUCUAGAUGUUACUGUCUGCUACACUUGAGCUUCCGUCGUUGGCCACAAGCGCUGCCACUCCGAAACCAAUCGAAUAAGCCUAAUCGUCACUUAAAUCUAGAGAGGCUUCUCCGUAAAGGAAGAUACAGAAGCUACAUGAUUUUGACAAAGUCUCUCAUGUUUGAUUUUGCAAGAAAGACUAAAAGAUGAAAAAAGAGAUAGAUAGAGAAAGAAAAGAAGAAGAAGAGUCGAUGAAGGAAAAAAAGAAGUAGACGAUGAAGAAGAAGAAAAAAAAAGUAAAAAUAGAGAAAGAAUAUAUUACUUUUUUGAGUAAUUAAAUUAUAUAUAUAAUCUGAUAAUCAGAUCUUAGUUACAACUUCCAUCCAACGACCCACUCAUCAUAUACCAUCUGUUUCUUUUUUCCUAACUACAUUGAAACUGUCAAACGCUAAAGUAUUCUCGUUCUUCAUUUGUAGGGGCAAAUUUGUUAUAAAUUCAAUGAAAAAGUUGGAAAAGUGUCUCAUCCCUAUAAAGUGUCUCAAAAGUAAUAAAAUUCUCUAAAUGUGCUUAAACGUGUCACAUUCACUUCUUUUAAUGUAAAGUUGAAACGAAAAUCUUUACAUAUUUUUU